rnacentral:lncRNA from 1 species
GACUAAACACGGUGUGCUUUAUGUACUAAUAAUAUUAUUAAUUGGAACAAUUAUUUGUUCUCUUAAUGUUGAAUCCGACGGCUUUAUUCGCGAUGAUGAAAGAGCGUGGUAUCCAAGUAUUUAUGAUGCCUACAAUGUUGUCUUGUGUUUAGAAAAAUGCAACGAAAGCUAUAACAUGUUAUCGAAACAAUCAAGAAAUAGAUUGAAUAGAUGCAGAAAGAAUUGCAAAAGGCUAAAUGAUGCUAUACAAUGGUGCAGGACUCGCUGUCGUAAGGAUGAAGUUGCAUAUAAGAAAUGCAUAAAACAAUGGGCUCGAUUUUUAAAGGGAAAUCCACUUCAGAGGGAGAUAGAAAAUUUUAGAAUAUAUAUUGAUGAGUGCACCUAGCUAGUACUUUAUUAAUGGUAAGUAUUUUUUAUUUAAGAUGUUUUAUUUUAUUUUUUUGAAUUUUUUUUAGUUUUGUUUUUUAAAAAAUAAAUGCACCUAGUACUUGAUGUGAUGAAUACUACUUUUAAUUUUGGUCCUAAUAGUAUAAAAUAAUAUAUAAUAAUUCAAGAAAUGUUUAUUCCAAAUUCAUCCAAUUUAGCAUCCAAAUAAUAUAAAUAUUCUGACAUUGUUAAAAAUAAAAUAUAUCUAAAUAAUUAAAAAUAAGUUUUUUUUUAUCCUCACUGUUAUAUAUGAAUACUCAACAUUGAUAUUAUAUUUUUAACCUUCUUAAACCUUUUGUAAUCUUUUCGACUAUAUUUUGGGUCAAGUAAUUUGAUGACCCUUUAUAAUUACUUUAUUGAAUUCAAGGAGUUAAACAAAAUUGAAAUAAUAAUAAAAAAUUCUAAAAUAAUAUAUAUUCCUCUGAAGUAAAAACUUUUUAUUUCGUUUAUAUUGGCAAUUUACUACUCUUAAAAUGAGGAAGAGACACAAACUAAUGAAGGAAUAUUCUAAUAAUUAAUUCGAGAAUCAUACUGCAUAUAAUAAUAUUAAUAAUAUUAACAAUGAAUUUAGUUAGAUUAUAUAAAGCAUAGUUUCAUUUAUCAUAAACUUGUAUUACAAAGAGAGAUGACUAAACAUGGUGUACUUUAUGUACUAAUAAUAAUAUUGAUAAUCGGAACAAUUAUUUGUUAUGUUACCGUUGAAUUCGACGGCUUUGUUCGUGAUAAUGAAAAAAUGUGGAUUCCAAGUGUUGAUGAUGCCUAUGAUCUUGACUCGUGUCACAGAAAAUGUAACGAAGCCUAUAACAGCAAAUUAUCGAGAAAAUCAAGAAAUAGACGACGAAGAUGCAGAGAGUCUUGCAAAAACCUAAAUCAGUGUAUAAAAUGGUGCAAAGAGCAAUGUCGUGGGGAUGAAGAUGCAUAUAAGAAAUGCAUAGAAGCAUGGUUAAGUCAGAUACAAAGAAGAUAUGGGAAAAAUAUUAUACGUUCAAGUUUUUUUAUGAACCAAGUCUAAUCAAGUUAAAUAAGAAUACUUAGAAUAAUGUACG